rnacentral:rRNA from 1 species
GAUGAACGCUGGCGGCGUGCCUAAUACAUGCAAGUCGAGCGAACAGACGAGGCUCUUGCUCCUCUGACGUUAGCGGCGGACGGGUGAGUAACACGUGGAUAACCCACUUAUAAGACUGGGAUAACUUCGGGAAACCGGCGCUAACACCGGAUAAUCUAUUGAACCGCAUGGUUCAAUAGUGAAAGACGGCUUUGCUGUCACUUAUAGAUGGAUCCGCGCCGCAUUAGCUAGUUGGUAAGGUAACGGCUUACCAAGGCAACGAUGCGUAGCCGACGUGAGAGAGUGAUCGGCCACACUGGAGCUGAGACGCGGUCAAGGCGACUGAGAGAGGCAGCAGUAGGGAAUCGGCCGCAGUGGGCGAAAACCUGACGGAGCAGCGCCGCGUGAGAGAUGAAGGUCUUCGGAUCGUAAAACUCUGUUAUUAGGGAAGAACAAAUGUGUAAGUAACUAUGCACGUCUUGACGGUAACUAAUCAGAAAGCCACGGCUAACUACGUG